GGGUUGUGAGGUUAAGCGACUAAGCGUACACGGUGGAUGCCCUGGCAGUCAGAGGCGAUGAAGGACGUGCUAAUCUGCGAUAAGCGUCGGUAAGGUGAUAUGAACCGUUAUAACCGGCGAUUUCCGAAUGGGGAAACCCAGUGUGAUUCGUCACACUAUCAUUAACUGAAUCCAUAGGUUAAUGAGGCGAACCGGGGGAACUGAAACAUCUAAGUACCCCGAGGAAAAGAAAUCAACCGAGAUUCCCCCAGUAGCGGCGAGCGAACGGGGAGGAGCCCAGAGCCUGAAUCAGUGUGUGUGUUAGUGGAAGCGUCUGGAAAGGCGCGCGAUACAGGGUGACAGCCCCGUACACAAAAAUGCACAUGCUGUGAGCUCGAUGAGUAGGGCGGGACACGUGGUAUCCUGUCUGAAUAUGGGGGGACCAUCCUCCAAGGCUAAAUACUCCUGACUGACCGAUAGUGAACCAGUACCGU
rnacentral:rRNA from 1 species